rnacentral:rRNA from 1 species
UUACAGUGAGUAGGAGGGCGCAAAGGUUAUUGUGCAGCUUGCGGCGUGAGCCGGAGUGAAACAGCCUUUGGUGCAGAUCUUGGUGGCAGUAGCAAAUAUUCAAAUGAGAACUUUGAAGACUGAAGUGGAGAAAGGUUCCAUGUGAACAGCAAUUGGACAUGGGUUAGUCGAUCCUAAGAGAUAGGAGAAAUCCGUUUCAAACUGGGCUGUCUUCGGAGAGCCCGGCCUAUCGAAAGGGAAUUGGGUUAAUAUUCCCAGACCGGGGCGUGGAUACUGAGUGGCAACACAAGCAA